rnacentral:lncRNA from 1 species
CUUCAUUCUGCUGCCCCACCUCCCUACGCUGCCACACUGGGGGUCCCGUUUCAACAAGAGUUUUGCUGGGAACAGAUGCACUGACUACAUCCAGGUCGUGGAGCACACUGAGCUGGCCAGAGCAGGCUUGUGUUUUCCUCUGUGCUCCUUCCUGCUUCCCAGGAUGCAGAUGAGAUGGCAGGUGCCCCAGCAGCCCUCGCCAACCAUAAGGCAUGGAUUCCUCACCUUCGGCUCGGGGAGCACAGAGACUGAGGGCCGUGGACUCGGGGUGAGAUGGUGGCACCUCCAUCACAGACCCACAGUCUCUGUGUCCAGCCCUUCCGGAAAGAUGACAGAAAUGAAAAGUCUGCCUUAUGGAAGACAAGGCACCGACGCUUUCCCUGACAGCAUCAUCAUCACCCAACUAGGGCAGCUGACCCGCGUCUUCCUCACGACGUGGAAUGGUUUGAGUCAAGGGUUUUCAUGGCCAUGAGCCACGUGGAGGCUGUGCCUUUUGUUUCCUGUGAGAAAUCUUCAACCAGCGCCACUCUCAGCCUCCCCUCUGCCAGCGCUUCUGUGGCUGCACCUGCAUUCGUGGGCUGUGGCUGCGAAGCACAGGAAUAAUUGAUGGCUCUGGGGCACUUUGCUGGGCUGCUUCCAGAAAAGUUGACCCCUCCCUGCAAACCAGCACUGCCCAGCAUUCUUGUCCCGCCAAGCCUGACUGUGAGCUGUUGUGACGUUGCCACUUUGCUCGGAAAGGACCCCUUACCUUUUAUUUCCCUUGCAUUUCUUUCAAUUCUACCAUUGACCAUUUCUCAUACGUGUGGUCAUCAUUGUAUUUCGCCCCCAUUUUGUGAGGUUUAGUGUAUUCUUAAAGUUUCCUGGGUUUUGAUGAGAGCAUAUUCUGUCAUUAUAUUUAACAGGUGUUUUCCCCAGCUUGGAUGUGUUUGGCCAUUAGCUUCUUUUCUGCUAUUUUACACUAGUCUGUUAUUCUUCACUACAAAAGGACUCUGCCGAGGGUCCCCAUGCUCCCCAUGCUUCGGGGUGUGAGGUAGCAGGGGAAGGCAGGUGUCCUUCCUUCUUUGAAGUGCGGGUUGGGGCAGGACAGCAGACCCUGGGGUCACUGCUGAGGAGGGGAAGGAUGGGAUUAGGACUGUUCUCUUCCUGGCCUCAUGAGCUCCCCCAGCUCCUUCUGGUGGUUGGAGAAGAAACCUCCUGAUUGUCACGGAGAGUGAGUUUGUCCGUGGAGCUUUUCCUGCACGGCUCACAUAGAACGGGCUGUGAGGUCCCUCCACUGAGCAGCACGUGCCAGGCCGGGUGCCCACGACUGUUGGGAAAACCCAGGCCUGUAUUCCAGGAAGCAAAGGUCUUUAGAUGAAGGUUUUAAGAAUGAAAAUUAACCCACAGAAUGGUGAGGUCAGUUGGAGCCUGGAUUCCAUGGGGUAAGACAGCCACAGCCAGGUGGGCAUCCUGCUCCUUCCCUUUCCCCUGUCCCUGCCCACCGGCCAUGCCCUAGAGUAGGGGCACACUCGGACCCCAGCCCAGCGCCCACCCAUGCUGCCUGCAGGCCUGCGAGGUCCCACAACCCCUUGGCAUGCAGCGACAGCCCGGGGCCAGGUGUGGGUGAGGCUUGGGAUUUCCUGGCACAGCUGACUUCAUGUUGUGGCCUGGCAGCCUCGGGUGGUGUCGGCAGAUGCAGGAAGCCACGGGCGCAGCUCCCUGCCUGUCCCGGCCGUGGGUGCUAAUGCAGAGUGGGUUCUGUGGCUGGUCACACAGGCAGCCGGGUGGGUGCAGGUCAUCCCGGGGAUGGCCUUGCACUGUCUGAUCCCCGGGGAGGGGAGGGUCUUUUCGCUGACCACGCUGUUUGCUGCGUGCUUUUUGUUUGCCAAGGGCUGCAAUGUUUGUCGUCUGCCGCAGUGUUUGCUGCCGGGUGAAGAAUCGCUGGCCCUGUGUUGUCACCUGGGCCCACCGUGACAAGGUCCCCACCUCUGUUGUGGGACUCGGGGGCAAAGUUCCCUGCUGUUCACGCUGCAAGUGACAAGGGCCUUGGUCUCUGAACCAGGAGCCUCUGAGUCCUGCCCCACAGGGCUGAGCCCUGGCUGGGAGCAAUGUUCUUUGGGGGAGACAGCAGCUUCCUCACUUCCAUGUACAGCCAGAUGCCACGGGAUGUGGGGAGUGCGACAGGGCCGUGGGGAGUGUGACAAGGCCUUGGGGAGUGUGACAGGGCUGUGGGGAGUGUGACAGGGCCUUGGGGAGUUUGACAGGGCCGUGGGGAGUGUGACAGAGCCGUG